CACUAUUGUUACUAUGUCAAAAACAUAAACCAUCUUAUCCAUAAGUUUACUGUUGAUGAUUUUUAUGUUUCAAAUACUACGACAAAUUUCUAACCUUGAACAAAGUCAACUGAUUUUCUUUUUAAGCAACUUUAUUGCACGUAAGAACUUAUAUUUGGCGUAUGUUAUGUAUAAAUGGAGUUAAUUCAGACAGAGAAGAUGGCAGAAAAUAACGGAAGUUUGACACAUUACAUUGGAAUUUCAAAUCAGAAUUUUCUCGCGGCGUUACUUCACCUGCUUUUGUAAUUAAAAAAGUGAAGGAAAGACAGGUUCAUCAGGAUUAUGAAGAAAAUGAGAAUGGAGGUGAAGACGAUGAUGUUGCUUAUGAUGAUGUUGAUGAUGAUGAUGACGAUGAUGAUGAUGACCACGAUGACGACGGCGACGGCGACGACGACGACGAAGGCGACGACAGCAAUGAUGAUGAUGUUGAAGAUGACGACGAUGACGUUGGUAAUGGUGAUAACAAUGGUGCAGUGUGUGGUAGUGACAGUACUUAUAUGAUGCUAUACGAAUUAAAGAUCACAUAAAAUCAUGAA